UAUCUAUCCAGAACAUCUCGCCGGUAUUAAGUUACGAGCCCCACCCAAAUUGUAAACUCAAAGCAACAGACAACUGCAUUAACGAACUAUGUUGGGGAACGUCGCAUGGGAAACAAACAAUUUCCUACGUGCACGAAAACCUAUCAUGGUGAUGUCCAUCUAUGAGAGGGGAUUUCCGAUCUACAUACCUUUGUAGAUCGCACAGCAGAAGUGUUAGUGAAUGCGGUUGAUGUAGUGGAACGUCCUCACGUCCCUCGAUC
rnacentral:lncRNA from 1 species